CCUACGGGGUGCUGCAGUGGGGAAUAUUGGACAAUGGGCGAAAGCCUGAUCCAGCCAUGCCGCGUGUGUGAAGAAGGCCUUCGGGUUGUAAAGCACUUUCAGUGGGGAAGAAAGCCUUGGGGCUAAUACCCUCGAGGAAGGACAUCACCCACAGAAGAAGCACCGGCUAACUCCGUGCCAGCAGCCGCGGUAAUACGGAGGGUGCGAGAGUUAAUCGGAAUUACUGGGCGUAAAGCGCGCGUAGGCGGUCUGAUAAGCCGGUUGUGAAAGCCCCGGGCUCAACCUGGGAACGGCAUCCGGAACUGUCAGGCUAGAGUGCAGGAGAGGAAGGUAGAAUUCCCGGUGUAGCGGUGAAAUGCGUAGAGAUCGGGAGGAAUACCAGUGGCGAAGGCGGCCUUCUGGACUGACACUGACGCUGAGGUGCGAAAGCGUGGGUAGCAAACAGGAUUAGAUACCCCUGUAGUC
rnacentral:rRNA from 1 species